GUUAAAAUAAUUUAACUAAAAAUGUUGGUUUUGUAAACCAAAAUUGGAAUUCCUUUUAACA
rnacentral:tRNA from 1 species